AACGUAGGACGCAAGCGUUAUCCGGAGUUACUGGGCGUAAAGGGCAGGCAGGCGGUUUGGUAAGUGAGGCGUGAAAUCUCCCGGCUCAACCGGGAGGGUGCGUCUGAGACUGCCAGACUAGAGGGCAGCAGAGGAGCGUGGAAUUCCGGGUGGAGUAGUGAAAUGCGUAGAGAUCCGGAGGAACACCAGAGGCGAAAGCGGGGCUCUGGGCUGCACCUGACGCUGAACUGCGAAAGCCAGGGGAGCGAACGGG
rnacentral:rRNA from 1 species